GCAACGCCGUGGUAGGUUUUAAAAAUACGUUGAACAGGCCUAGUCUCAGCAUAACAGCGUACACGCGGUUGUAGUGGUAGGAUGCGAUAGAAUAGGGAAAAGGAAAAAAGGCUAGCAGAAAUCUGUUUACUAUUGAGCGGAAAGUAGCGUCAUCGUGAAUACUCGAAGUUAAAUCGAACAAAUUAGGUUCAGAAGUGCCGUUUGUUAGCAAUAAUAUUGUGAAUUAUUUUGUGCCAGGAGGUCGAAAAGUUGGUGCGAAUCACUACAAAAAUCUCUUGGGUAAGCAAUUGAAGUGCAGUGACCAAUAUAGGAUUAGUAAUGUUUACCAAAAAAACUUCCUCAGCCUCGGUGGAUUUGCUGCAGACACACAACAGCAGCCGGUAGGGCAAAUAGGGGAGAAAGGUCCAUUGUGGUACACUGUGAGUAGUAGCAUGUAGAAAAAAGCUAAAAAAAAGACUUACCUGUUUCUUGAAUUGUUUAUGUAUCCCAUUGGUCAGGUUAGGGUGAAGGCGCCAAGUACGAUCUCGGGAUAAAUCAGAGACGAAGUAGUGGGGAAGGAAACCACUUCUUUUUUGAGCGUUGCUGAAAACCAAUCAGCUGCUGUGAAAAAUUUGGUUUCCCUUCGGGAACAUUCUCAAAAAAGAAGUGAUACGAAGUGUCGCUGUGAGAAGUUCGUCCUACCCGCAAAAUGAAUUCUGAUUCCGAAUCCGUGAAGGACAAAAUCGUCCAAAAUCUCACGGAAACUUCGUGUGGGAUAUGCGGUGCCUCGAUCUGUGACGAAAUAAUGGUUGAAUGUGAUGGAUGUACGAGGUGUUUUCAUAUCCGAUGCGUGGGUAUCCAGUCAAGUAAACUACCCAAAAAUUGGUACUGCCACAGCGAGGCCUGUCAGGAGAAAGCCCUGGAGUAUCAAAAACGGAAGAAGCAGACUCGCAGUCGGAAGCAAACCGAAGAGUCUGACAAAGCCAGCGUCAACUCUCGCUCGGGGGCAUCUAUCGUUGAAACCAGAGUCAGAGCGCUAGAAGAUCGUCAAAAGCGGCAGUUGGAAGAGCUGGAAGUGGAAAUGCAGCUGCGGAAGAAGGAGCAGAAGAUGCAGCGGGCGUUCGAAAAGAAGAAGAUGGAGAUGGAGCUGCAAAUGAGUGCAGAGGAAGAAGAAGAAAGAGGUGCUUGGCAGGCGAAGAUACUCCAGAAGAAGAGAGGCCAAAUCCAGCGCAUGAAAGCGAACCGGGAGUCGUUCGAGAAGCAGAUGGCGGACUUGGACAAGGAGUUAGCGGGGCUCUCGGGCGGCAAGGUGCUAAAGCCAGCGUCGAAAAGCUUUGCGGAUGUUAUGUUUGUGAGUCCAUCCGGCAAAUCCAACCAAAACGCGUUGAAGCUGAUGAAGGCGAACAUCAUGGAGUCCGUGGAAGACGACGAAGGUACCGAGGGCGAGAGUGAGGUUGACGAAUACUGCGAAAAUUCGGAUCGGCACAGCCAGAGUUCCGAUUCGACUAUGGGGGAGAAGGUCAAGAAAAAUGUGUCGUUGAGAAACUGGAAGCAGGUCAACAGUGGAAGCCAAAACGGGCUGGGGCAACAGCAGCCCAGACCGACAAAGGCACAGCUCGCUGCCAGGCAGGGGUUAACAUACAAGCUCCCCAAAUUUUCGGGCAAACCAGCACAGUGGCCACUGUUUUACGCCGCCUACAAAGCGUCCAACGCAACAUGUGGCUACAUGAACCAUGAAAAUCUGAUGCGGCUGCAGGAAGCGCUCGAAGGUGAUGCUCUCGAGUUGGUGAGCGGACAGCUUCUUCUUCCCGAAACAAUCCCAAGGGUCAUCGAGAAGCUGCGUCGCCAUUACGGCCGUCCUGAGCAGCUUCUUGAAAGUCUGCUGGACAAAAUCAAUCGACUAGACCCUCCUCAACCGGACAGCCUGAAGAGUUUCAUCCCAUUCGGAAACACGGUGGAACAACUCUGCGACCAUAUGGAGGCGGCGGAUAUGCGGCAGCAUCUCGUGAACCCGUUGCUGAUCAAGUCACUGGUCGCAAAGCUACCGGAUCGUGAAAAGCGCGAGUGGGUCCACUACCGUAGAGGACGUGGCGAAGUAACUUUGCGAACACUUACGGACUUCCUGAUGGAUAUAGUAGCAGAUGCUUGCGAAGCCAACGUCGACAUGGAGUUUGAGCAGCUACACCAAUCCAUCACAAUUCCUCAACCAGAGGAAAGUGAGGAGCACGCCGGACUAUACUGUCACAGCGUGACCACCAAUUCAGCAGCAAAUGUCAGCAAGGAGAAGACCCACCGCAGAGAAUUCCACAACUCGUCGAUGCAUCCGGUCGAAAAUACGUUCGGAUUAAGUGCAAAUGACCAUGCAAACUGCGCGGUCUUGUUCCGGAUCGUUCCGGUACAGUUGCACUGCAAGGGAAAAACAAUUUCAGUGUUGGCGUUCCUGGACGAAGGUGCUUCCGUCACGCUGAUGGAGCAAAAGCUCGCCGACCGUCUGGGCGCGGUCGGAGUACAAGAGCGAUUGACCAUCCGGUGGACAGGAGACGUUUCUAGAGUGGAGGAUUCACGGCGGAUGAGUCUGUGGACAUCAAGUUCGAGUGCUAACGCCAGCGACAAAACGUUGCUGCACACCGUCCACACAGUCCAAAACCUGAAGCUACCGCACCAGAAGCUAGACUACGAGGAGAUCGCUGCGCAGUACGCCCACUUGCGAGGACUUCCUAUAGAGUCGUACGACGGUCAGCCACAACUGCUCAUCGGUGCGAACAAUAUUCAUUCGUUUGCUCCGAUGGAAGCAAGGGUGGGAAAUCCGAUGGAACCGAUCGCUGUUCGGACAAAUCUCGGGUGGACAGUCUACGGCCCAAGAUAUUCGACCAGCGUGGCAGCCAGUAACUAUCUGGGCUACCACCAGCAAAUUAUCAGUGUAGACCAGCAUAAGCAUCUCAAAAGCCGUUAUGCGACGGAAGAUACAAUGAGAGCACUCUCUCAGCAAACAGAUGAAGAGAAAGAACUCCAGCGAAGCCCGGAGCGCACCAACAAGCCGACCGGCGAUUGCUUCGAAACUGAAUUGCUCGGGAAAAUAGAUGAUCUGCAAAUUCCGGACAGUUAUCCUAGGACACUGCCUACAAAGAAGCGCUUCGAGAAAAACCAGAAGCGAUGUGGCAAUUUCGCGGCUCCGCCAAAACAGAGGUUGGUAAUCGAGGGGACAACAACAAAGUGCGUGUCGGUGCAGGAAGCAUAUUCUCGACGAGAAGAGCAGCCAAAAGCACAGAAGGCAGGCAGUUGGUCUGUAUUGAUGAACACGUGUAGCAGAAAGUGGAAGCGCCAAUCGGGAAGUUCGCCAGAGAAUAUACAGCAACAACCCAAGUGCAUCGAUGAGCAAAAUCCACUCAAGUUGGGUGACUCUGAAUUCGGGAUCCACAGCGAAAAUCGAAGGUCGUUGAAGCGAGAAGAUGUAGAGGUAAAUAUGCAGAGCUCGGAUGGACGAAUCCGACAAGCACGCGUGAGUACCGCUGAUGAUACAAAAUCGAAACUUGACGUCGUUGAAAGGAACGGUAAAUUCGUGAAUACCGAAUGUUACGGGCUGGGGUGUUGCAACGCCGUGGUAGGUUUUAAAAAUACGUUGAACAGGCCUAGUCUCAGCAUAACAGCGUACACGCGGUUGUAGUGGUAGGAUGCGAUAGAAUAGGGAAAAGGAAAAAAGGCUAGCAGAAAUCUGUUUACUAUUGAGCGGAAAGUAGCGUCAUCGUGAAUACUCGAAGUUAAAUCGAACAAAUUAGGUUCAGAAGUGCCGUUUGUUAGCAAUAAUAUUGUGAAUUAUUUUGUGCCAGGAGGUCGAAAAGUUGGUGCGAAUCACUACAAAAAUCUCUUGGCCUCGGUGGAUUUGCUGCAGACACACAACAGCAGCCGGUAGGGCAAAUAGGGGAGAAAGGUCCAUUGUGGUACACUGUGAGUAGUAGCAUGUAGAAAAAAGCUAAAAAAAAAGACUUACCUGUUUCUUGAAUUGUUUAUGUAUCCCAUUGGUCAGGUUAGGGUGAAGGCGCCAAGUACGAUCUCGGGAUAAACCAGAGACGAAGUAGUGGGGAAGGAAACCAC